rnacentral:tRNA from 1 species
GUGGCGUAAUGGCAACGCGUCUGACUACGAUGUGUCGUCAUCAGGAGAUUUGCAGGUUCGACCCCUGUCU